AUUGAACGCUGGCGGCAGGCCUAACACAUGCAAGUCGAGCGGAGCGGCGGACGGGUGAGUAAUGUCUGGGAAACUGCCUGAUGGAGGGGGAUAACUACUGGAAACGGUAGCUAAUACCGCAUACCAUCAGAUGUGCCUAGGUCGGAUUAGCUAGUUGGUGGGGUAAAGGCCUACCAAGGCGACGAUCCGUAACUGGUCUGAGAGGAUGAUCAGUCACACUGGAACUGAGACACGGUCCAGACUCCUACGGGAGGCAGCAGUGGGGAAUAUUGGACAAUGGGCGAAAGCCUGAUCCAGCCAUGCCGCGUGUGUGAAGAAGGUCUUCGGAUUGUAAAGCACUUUAAGUUGGGAGGCGUUACCAACAGAAUAAGCACCGGCUAACUUCGUGCCAGCCGCCGCGGUAAUUC
rnacentral:rRNA from 1 species